rnacentral:rRNA from 1 species
GAUGAACGCUGGCGGCGUGCUUAACACAUGCAAGUCGAACGGGAAACCUUUUAUUGACGCUUCGGCAGAUUUAGCUGGUUUCUAGUGGCGGACGGGUGAGUAACGCGUGGGUAACCUGCCUUAUACAGGGGGAUAACAGUCAGAAAUGGCUGCUAAUACCGCAUAAGCGCACAGAGCUGCAUGGCUCAGUGUGAAAAACUCCGGUGGUAUAAGAUGGACCCGCGUUGGAUUAGCUGGUUGGUGGGGUAACGGCCCACCAAGGCGACGAUCCAUAGCCGGCCUGAGAGGGUGAACGGCCACAUUGGGACUGAGACACGGCCCAGACUCCUACGGGAGGCAGCAGUGGGGAAUAUUGCACAAUGGGGAAACCCUGAUGCAGCGACGCCGCGUGAAGGAAGAAGUAUCUCGGUAUGUAAACUUCUAUCAGCAGGGAAGAUAAUGACGGUACCUGACGAAGAAGCCCCGGCUAACUACGUG